rnacentral:lncRNA from 1 species
AACUACACUGUUAGUCCAUUUAAGCUAAAAGCCUACGGGGAAGGAGUUUACAACUUAAACUGCCAUAGGAUAAUGCCCAUAUUAUACAUAAACAACAACUACCUGAUUCUAGUUAAGACAACUAGCUAACAUAUAUACAAAUGAGAUUCAGUAUGUAACCAGAGUUUACAUGGGCAGUGCAUAGAAUGUUCUAAAUACAUAUAGUAAAAGAAAGAAAAGAGUACAUUAAACUACAGCUUCAAAUCUUUCCCAUUUUUUUGCAUUCAUGCUUCGAGUAGCUUACAAGAUGUACCAGUGUAUUCAGUUUUGUGUACCUGGUAUUUGGGAAAGCAAGGAAAGAAAAUGAAGAUCAGUGAAGCAACAGUAGUGUUCCGCAAAUAACAACAGCAAUAGCAGCAGUAACAACAAGCAGAAUAAAUCCCAGUGAAAAAAUUCAGCUAUAACCAAUGGAAGCAGUAGCAAAUAAACCCAGCAAACUCAGGAGCAAACAAUUGAAAAUCCAGCAACACCAAAAUGCAAUCACAGCCAAAAGCGGAAGGGAGACAGGUACGAGACAACUGUAGUUUAACUGAUGUUUCAAGACAUUCAAAGGAAAGCCUGAUAGAUGCAACUCACAGCUCUCAAAUUCUGAUUUUUCAAAAUCUGUCCCCCUUUCCUAAGUUCUCUCUAUCUUUUUCUUUCUUACUGCCUAUCAAAUGGCUCUAUCUAUAUGCAAAGACAGACCCUGCUAGCUCUUAAGAGCACUCAAAACCCAAAUUCAGAAACCCAUUCUGCCCCAUCAUCCUCUUUCUUUUGCCCACUAUUGUAUGUUUGUUCCCCACUAUAUUUGUCAUAUUCUAUUUUUAAUUCAAAGGUCAUGGGCACAUAUUUAUUUAAUCACUCCCCAACAAAACCUCCCUCAUACCAUUAUCUUUUGUUCCCAACUUUAUUUAAACAAAUGCAUUAGAUUAAUGGUAUAUUGGUAUUUCCUGACAGUCCACUCAAGUUAAACCUCUUUUUUCAAGUUUUGAAAUCCCCAAAUUACCCCUGAAACCCCUGUGAUUCACUGCCUUAAACCAAUCCUUUCGAUUGGUAACAAACCCAAAUAGCUAUAGCCAAACCAAACUAUUAAAAUUCUAAACACUGACUCCUAAACUCAACUGGACAGAUUACAAAACUUAGUUUCGACCAAACAAUAAACUCCCUGAUAAUCAGACUAAACAGGCAAUCAACAACAUGAAUUGCAGGAAAGGGGAAUCACAUACUAUAGGAUAAGUUUUAAUUCACAACAAUUUGGCUAAAACCAACUACUAUCAACAUGUGACUGCAAUUAGAGAUGAGGCAACACCAAUGUCAUGAAAUGAAAUCUGAUUAAUAACAUGAGUCUAAGCUCUGACAACCAUGAACCAUUUCCUAAGCAUCAGGUUUAUUGCAUAGCCUAACAUUACUGAUUAAGGGAUCACAAUGACAACAUAAUUGGUAGCCUGAUCUUUGAACAAACUAAACAGACACAAAUUUAACCAGUUUGGACCUUAGACCUAUGAAACUAAACAGACACAAACUCGCAAAUUGGUCCAAGUUCGGACCUUGGACUACUGAUCAUGUUUCAACAAUGGGAAAUUCAUGUCAAAUUACAGAAGGGAAAAGGACAAAGUAAACCAAUGGAACUGCAAGAGUGAGUCACUAGAACUGGGUGUAAAAAACUUACCCGAAUCAUGAUUCAAUGAAACUCGAGGCUUUUUCCCAUUUUCAAGCCGAGACGGACUUUAAACAUAUGUUUUCGAAGGAAAACAGCAUGGCUAAAGUCAGUCCCUGGCUUAAAAUUUAUGGGCCCUGGUCUGCCUAACUUCAAUCUGGAAUAUGAGCUACCCCACGAUGAUUUGAACAGGAUCUAUCAGGGAUUCCUGGUGAGGGGGCCAGUAAGUCACAGGGUGUGAAUUUGGUGGCAUUUGAGCGGACUAGGGUUUGGGUCGAUUCCUUUGAUUUAAGAUUCGAGGAGCUCGGGGGUGAUUCGAAGCAAACUGAGCGUGAGACUGGAACGAGGAAGUCUUGGGGAAGCUGUGGUGUGAAAUUGGGAGUCAUUGAACGAACUAAGGUUCCGGCCUUAUUUUCGAUCUAAGAUUCGAAGCAUACUACUGGGAUUCGAAGACAAUAGAAGGUAGAUUCAGUAAGAGGAGGGUAAGGGGGUUCUAUGGUAUGAAGAUGGGGUUGUUUGGACCACCGGAACUGCCGUGAGGCGAUUUCCGGUGGGCGGUGCAUGGUGGUUGAAGGCUGAGGGUUUGUUUGGUCUCCGAGGUUCGGAGACGAAGGUGAAGGGGGG